rnacentral:rRNA from 1 species
AAUAGAUACCCCGGUAGUCCACGCCGUAAACGGUGGGCACUAGAUGUGGGGCUCUUUCCAUGAGUUCCGCGUCGCAGCUAACGCAUUAAGUGCCCCGCCUGGGGAGUACGGCCGCAAGGCUAAAACUCAAAGGAAUUGACGGGGGCCCGCACAAGCGGCGGAGCAUGCGGAUUAAUUCGAUGCAACGCGAAGAACCUUACCAAGGCUUGACAUAUACGGUCUAUCCCUAGAGAUAGGGAGUGCUUCGGCGCCGUAUACAGGUGGUGCAUGGUUGUCGUCAGCUCGUGUCGUGAGAUGUUGGGUUAAGUCCCGCAACGAGCGCAACCCUCGUCCUAUGUUGCCAGCGGGUAAUGCCGGGGACUCAUGGGAGACUGCCGGGGUCAACUCGGAGGAAGGUGGGGAUGAGGUCAAAUCAUCAUGCCCCUUAUGUCUUGGGCUUCACGCAUGCUACAAUGGCCGGUACAAAGGGCUGCAAUACCGCAAGGUGGAGCGAAUCCCAAAAAGCCGGUCUCAGUUCGGAUUGAGGUCUGCUAACCG